CCUACGGGAGGCAGCAGUGGGGAAUAUUGCACAAUGGGGGAAACCCUGAUGCAGCGACGCCGCGUGAGUGAAGAAGUAAUUCGUUAUGUAAAGCUCUAUCAGCAGGGAAGAAAAUGACGGUACCUGAGUAAGAAGCCCCGGCUAACUACGUGCCAGCAGCCGCGGUCAUACGUAGGGGGCAAGCGUUAUCCGGAUUUACUGGGUGUAAAGGGAGAGUAGACGGCAGUGCAAGUCUGGAGUGAAAGGCGGGGGCUCAACCCCCGGACUGCUCUGGAAACUGUACGGCUGGAGUGCAGGAGAGGUAAGUGGAAUUCCUAGUGUAGCGGUGAAAUGCGUAGAUAUUAGGAGGAACACCAGUGGCGAAGGCGGCUUACUGGACUGUAACUGACGUUGAGGCUCGAAAGCGUGGGGAGCAAACAGGAUUAGAUACCCUGGUAGUC
rnacentral:rRNA from 1 species